UGCACACUUAGGACGCAUUUGAGCUGGAUCUAACCUGGAAGCCCCUUCCUGACAACUGGGCUUCUCUAGUAAAAUCCUAUGCCAGCUGCCAAGGGAGGGAAGCAAUUAAGAGGUCUACAGAGCAGUGACACCUGUGAACUGCCACAAGGACCGACCAGACAUCACCACCGACUGGGACUCGCUGUGUAGAACCUGGGAUUUACAGGGAUCUCUCUGCUUCUGAUUCCUGGGUGCUGGGAUUAAAGUUUUCCUUUUUAGAUUGUGCAUAUUCAAGAAGUAAAAUCAAAGAUAAUUCACAAAAGUCAAAGCGAAACAUUGUUCCUGAAGGCAGAGGAGGGUUAUACUUAACUCUACACAAUCGGCAUGGAGAGGCUGGAGCGGGGCUGAAAGGAAGGAUCUAGCCCACUGAGGAGUCUAAGGACAUAAUAAAACAUUAAAGAACUUCUCCAGGCAAAGCCAUCUAAGAGAUCUGUCCCCACCCCCCAGGAAGGGGCCUGCCUGAUUAUCCCACUAGCAGAAACAGAGGUGGCUGUCUUCUUGUGGCUUGCAAAGGUAUGAAAGUCUCCCCCAAUCCCCAUCCCAACUUGGGGCAGACCUGGAGGUUUCCCACCGAGGCUCUGUGAAGACUUCAUCCCAGCUCAAUCGCGCACUUUUCUCCAACUGCCUUCUACUUUCCCUGGCCCUUGGUGCUCCUGAAUUUCAGAGCACUUUUCAGCGUAGCCAUCUGCAGGCACUGCUCUGAACUCUUGCUGCAUAUCUAGUCUUUAAAAUUUUGUGGUGUACAUGCCAACAGCAGCCUCCAUCCAAUUUAUUCCUGAGAAGACAUGCUCAAGAGAGUGGUUUCUCUACAGGGUCAGACACUUAGCAAACUGUUCAUCAUCUGUUGUGAUGAGCCUGGAGUUCGGCCCCCCGGGAAGCCGAGGUCACAGCCACGGGGAUGAGUGAACCGGCAGACUGAGUGGAAACGGAGCCACUGCUGCUCUAACCUGCUCCUGCCCCUGAUGCUCCGCAGAGCAUGCCUCUGAGCCUCGCCGCCUCUCUGUGUCCUACCUGCGCAUCAGGCACAACAGAGCUGACCUUUCUCCCAGUCCCACUGUGAGGAUGAAAUCCUACUGCAGAGCACUUUGAAAUCUUUGGAUGACAAGCAAGCCAGAAGCGCCAAGCAUGAUGGUUACCCGUGCCAGCAACACGAGAAGACAGCAUAAAAAUAGGAAGCGAAGAAAAUUUCAUUUUGUAAAAGCUUCAGUGAGAAAAUUGGCUGGUCAGAAUGUCAUUCUCUGUUUCUGGUUCACGUAGACAUUGGCUUUUAUAAAAUUAGGAGGGAAAAAAAAAAGUGCGCCUUGUUAUUUUU